rnacentral:rRNA from 1 species
UACGGAGGGUGCGAGCGUUAUCCGGAAUUACUGGGCGUAAAGGGCGUGUAGGCGGUUUGUUAAGUCCGUUGUUAAAUCCCGGGGCUCAACCCCGGUAUGGCAGCGGGUACUGGCAGGCUUGACGGUUGGAGAGGCGAGUGGAAUUACCAGUGUAGCGGUGGAAUGCGUAGAUACUGGUAGGAACACCUAUGGCGAAGGCAGCUCGCUGGACAACUCGUGACGCUGAGGCGCGAAAGUGUGGGGAGCGAAC